AGCUCCGUCAAGAUGUUGAACCACAUCUUUGUUAUUUAAGACCGUAACAUCCACAACGCCUACAAGACCUUGUUCUGACAGUGACAACGUAUCCAAAGAAGUGUCUGCAGCUUUUGCUACCAAACAAGCAUACCUGUGGGCUUCAACUGUUUGAUGAAAUGUUCGGAAGAGAUGUUGUUUCAUGAGGAUGGUCAGCAGUGCCUUAAAAACUUCAGUCAUCAAGAGAGCACACGAAUCGGGUUUCAGUUCAUCCAACUUGUUAACCGGUUUUAUGCAAAAUAUGGUGAUAAUCUUGCAGAGAUUGGUUAAUUGGAACCAUGGGUGUGGAAGAAAAACACUUACUACGUUCUUGGAAAUGAAACUGUGUGGGACAGAUCCAAAUGAUAUGAUGUUUGUAGGUUUCGCUUAUGCUUUUAAUCACGCGGAGCUUGUGUCUGAAGCUGAAGCUCAAUUUAGUUCGACUUCAACGGAUCAUGGGACAGGAUUCUUCCAAGCGAGAAACAAUAGACAUACAUGGUUGGUGGUCUUUGUGCAGCAAGAAAAGUGGGAGAAGCAAAAGAAUUUAUUGAAAGGAUGUCAUAUGAUUCUUGCUGUUUGAUAUGGUGCACAUUGCUCAACUCUUUUGGACUGAAGAAUGAUUCUAAAAUUGGGGAGUUUGCUGUCACGAAAUUGAUCAAGUUAGAGCCAGGUGAUGCAUCUGCUUAUGUUCUUCACUCGACUUCUUUGCUUCAGUUGAAACUUGAAACUCUGGAAGCAUUGUUAGGAUCAGGAAAAGAGUGGAAAAUAAAUGCAUGGGAAAAGGAUAUCAGGAAUAGUUGGAUUUGGAGUUGAACUUCCAGAAUAUUGUGAAAACUAAUCUUCCAACUCCAUGCUGGUUCUCAUGCCAUCAAUGAUGUCAGAGACACUCAAGACAUGGAUCCUCGCCUUUUAUCUUUUGAGAUUCAUCUUACCUUGCUAAGUUACUUUCCUGCCACUGAUAUUUACAAUAAAGCAACUUUGAAUGGAAGUUCUCUGGAUAGACCAAAUUCAUUGGGUUGUUGUGAUGAAGACCGUCUACAAAUCAACAUUUCCACUCUUAUAAACACUACACUCGUCGACGUCUCCAUAACCCAUACAGCCACAUCUCCCUCUUGAUUGUCUAUUUGGAUUGUAGUACCGGAUAGGGCAAGGAUCCAGCUGGUGAAACCUCCCAAGCUCAUGGCGGUCAGCCGAUAUCGCCGUUACUAAGUGUUGAUGAGCCCCACUUUUGUAUAGAUUAGGUGGCUUUGUUGCCUGGUAAAUUUGGUUGUGGUGAGUUUGAUUAUAAUGGUGCAAGGAUGGGGAACUAUUGACUCUGUGCAGCUCUGCCUUGUUACAAUUAUUUUGAUAGCUAUGUGAAGCAUAACACUCGUGGUUGAUAGUAUCGAAAGGAUAGCCUUCAUGUUGUAUCGAUCUCGGGGAUGAUGCAGUUGAGGAAAUGCUGAAAAUGGACCGACUGCCAUUGCUAGAGCUACGCCUUAGCAUACUUGAAUUAGCACCAUUAAUUGCGUUUAUGUAACGCUGUUCCAUAUUAACUCUGUCAAAAUUGCUUGGAACAUUUUGGGGAUCAAUGAAGAGUGGAGUAACGGGGAAUAGGAAAGCUCGAAGCCUGGGCGUACCUCCGCUUUCAGAUGAUUUCACAUCCCAACGGUCGUACUCAUUAAGCAUGUGGCGAAGAUCCUCAUCGCAUUUUACGGAGACUAAGAUAUCCAAGUCCUCUGGUAUAACUUGGUAUUUGAGAACCAUUUCACCGUUGGCGGGGUUAUUAAGCUUCUUCAUAAGCUCUGCAAUGGAAAAAAUGUUUCAUUAAUUCAACAAGGUUCGUAUUACUCUUUGUUGCUGAUAACUUAUUUAUUAAGCAUUAUCGGAGCAAAAAAGAAAGAGAAGGAAAUUGCCUGAGAAACUGAUGUCACGAGGAACAACGACAACUCGAGUCUCACCACCAACGUAUUUAAGCUGACCGUCGGGAAGUCUAGGCAAUAUUUUCCCGCCAUGGCUAACCAAGAACUUAACUUUACUCUUGGGCGAAGACAAUGGCGUCUCUUCCCCUCCAACUCCUGCCGUGGCUGCCAUGGAAAUCUCCUCAGCCAUAGUGAAUGCAGAAACAAAUGAAUAACCAAAUGCAGCAAUACUCCACGGCAAGUUAUUACCUCUCCGAAUCCUAAAUCCUUGGAAGGAAAUUCGUAAUAUCCAAUGGAUAAUCUCAGAGGAUCGGACGAUUACGAUGGUUGGAUGGUUGUUCUGCCCGUACUUGGUAUACAUUCUUUAGAAACCAAUUUCAAAUAAAUCACAGACUGUCAGGUGAGUGAUCCUGAAUUUUUUUCGGAAAGCUGCCCAAACACCUGUCGUUUCUGUUUCAGCAGGUCUACCAUUAAGAAGCUGCCUGCAACCCAAAUAAUUUUUAGCUUGGCUGGCCUUAACAUCCUAGGUUGGAUGGUUAUAACUUAUAACCAGGUCUACCUUUAAGAAGCUGCUUCCAAACAAAGUGACCAUACGGGACUGGAUUCCACAAAAUGAAGAAUCGGAAUGAUUCAUUUUAGCAAAAUAAAUAUAAUAUAUUUUUCUUACCAUAAAGCAUUUUUUUUCUUUUAAGUUUUUGCUAAGAUUGAAGGACAUGUACAUUUUGUCCCCUAUGAAGGGAGACUGGAGAUAAAGAGGCCAGCUAACUUACCAGAUUGGGUUGGGUACUCCACCCCACCCUCAAAAAUGUAGAAACCAGUCAAAU